rnacentral:lncRNA from 1 species
UAAACCUUACAUGAAUCCAGCGAAUCCUUUUCGACUCUCGGCGUUUGAGGAAUGACCUGUAUGGUUAAAAAAAAAAAAAAAACAAAACAUGAAAGUGGUUAAUAGACUGUCUAACAGGAUAUACCAUUCAAACAUGGUAGCCGGCUCCAGAUCCCGGAUAGUACUUACUAUAGACGUCUAAAAGAUCUACUAAACUUCUCGGGUCAACUCUCAGGAAUCCAGAGUACCGACUAAGCACUAGAUUAUGGAUAAACAACAGUGUAGUACCUGUAGUACCUUCUCUCCUCCUUUCUUUUUCCCGUUUACCUUUUCUGUCACCCAGACAAAAAAGAUUGAUACAUUCUACACAAAAUCUGCCCUAUUUCUGGCUUAAGUAUGGAUUAUGAUUGAUAAUGUUUACUUAAAGCAUUCAGUGCUCCCAUUUCCCGGAACUAGUUCCGAAUUCCGGAACUUUUGAAAUUUUUCUGAAUUUUCCCCGAAAUUUUUUGCAUUUUCCGGAACUUUGGAAAAAAUCUAUGAAGAAUCCUGGAACUUUUGACGGUCAUGGAGUGGGAGAAAGUGGAACAAAAAAGUUCCGAAUCCCGCAACUUUCGACGGACAUGGAAUGGGAGCACUGAAAGCAUUCAUCAAUUUACGGUCCUCUAAUCGACAAAAUUAAAAAAAAGAAGACAAAAACCACUCACACAAACAUUCAUGACACUCCGGUGAUAUUCCGUAAGUUUUAUUUUUUGUUUCUUGAUCUGUUUUGUCAGCACGGCGAUUCGUCCGUGUUCAAAUCUCUAAACCAUAAUGUUUUGCCGUACGUUUAUUGGCGUUCUCUUCUCACAAUUCUGAUUUUUUGUAUGAAUUGCAGCAAGACUACAACAGCACGACAGGAAGCUGGAACGCUUACGCGUAUAACAGGUUGCACUCCGGGUGGAAUGACAUCACACUACCGGUGCAGCCUAGCGAGUCGUUCACGAAGAAGAUGUGGUACACAAUAAAGAACCUCGAGCCAGCGGCCCAGUACGAGGCCCAAGUCCAAGCCAAGAAUCGCUUCGGCUGGAACCAGAUUUCCGACAAAUUCUCGUUUUCCACGCGAGGCGAAUCGAACUCAGUCUACGAUUCGCAGUCGAUAUAUUCAGAACCUGAAAUGCGAGACAUGGGUGUGAUCUUUAAUUCAGCUACGUGCCUGUAUCAAUCUUUAAUAAUGUCUAUAGUUGUUAUAGUUUUAACAAGUGCGACGUAAACUAGUUGGCAGAAUGAAUGAAACUGAAUCGGUGGGGACCUGCGAAAAAUUUUACCACUGAGAUUCGGCAGGGUUUCCUUUGACGGUUUAAUUUUUUUUCUAUUUUCAUUUGGUUCUCUUUUGUUUAUUUUCCCAUUUUUAUUUUUGUAUUUUUAAUUUUUUAUUUUGCCCUCAUUUUCUUACGUAUCCCAAGUCGUGUAAAUAUUACAUGUUCUUUUUCUCUUUUCAUGAGCUUUGUAUUUCCGAUGAAAAGUGAUGAUGUAAAUAGUCGCAGUUUUAUGAAUCUUGCAGGUAUUGUUUUAAAAUUUUACCAAGUAUUUUAUUAAAAAAUGUCGAUAAAGUGUAAAAAGAAUCUAGUCAGAAAGAUAUAAUGUAGGAAUGGAGCGUUUGAAGCAGACUGUGAGAAUGUUCUCCCAUUAAUUCAAUCAGUAGUGUAACUUUCAAAUAGCUCCUUUUCCUAUUAAACCUUGCAAUCACUGCAAAUUGUUGAGCUUCCAUCAAAGAAUGGUGCGUUACUUUUUGAAUGUAUACCUACCAGCUUCCCACACUCAAAUACUUGGUUGAAGAAGUCUUUGUGCGCAUGUACGCGUUUUUUGUAAAAAAUAAAAUCGGUCCUUUAAAUCAAAACCCAUCGUUGCAUUUACACAUCAAUGGUGUAAUUGAAUUGCGGUUUAGGGUAAUUUUCCGAUUUUUUUUAAAUGAAUUAUUUUAAUGGUUGACAAAAUACAUCUUCUACAGCUUAUUGAUGCAACAUUUACUUAAAAUUGUCAAAAAUUGAAGUACACUUAUGCAAUUUCACCAUGGAUACGUUAAAAUUUCACUUGUCUAUUUGCUAAUGAAUCUUAAUGCCCGUAAAUUUUUUUAAGUCAGUGCUCAUCAUCAGAGAAUAGACAUGAGGUUUUUUACUGAUAAAUUAUUUAUAAUGUCAAAAUUCUGAAUUUUUUUAAUCGUAGCUAUAAAUGUGCCAACAUCUCAAUAGUUCUGUGCUUGCUCGUUAGAGUACAAUUGCAGCUCAGAGAUUGCACUGCCGUUUGGGGCUGCCGCGUUGCAGAGUACCUCAGUUGUAUAAUUUUGUUUCCUGAUAAAAUAUACAAUUUUUCUGCUGCCUUUCUUCCUUUAGGUUAGAGUAAAAGGUACACACUUUCAAAACGAAGUUUUUUCUCGGUUACUUAUUUUAUUUUUUUAAUUCUCAAUCCAUCAAAUGUUAAGAACACAUGCAACCGCACUAAACGCGGUUCUAUGUACUAUAUUUGAAUCCCAAUUAUGGGAUCUCUUUGUUUGUCAAUUAUUGACAUAAGAAUAUUCCAUUUUUUAAUUGAAUAUUGACUUAAUUGGGUUAAUUUUGUGACCAAAAAAAAAAGGAGUGUCAGUCAUAGGAAACUUUCCUAUGGUUUGUUGAGAUCCGAGUUAUGAAAUUCAUAGCUCACCUGUUGAAGAAAAAUAUUGUACCUAUUCAUAGGAAUACUUCAACCAUAAAAUUUCAUCUCAGAGAUUAUACCCAUCCAAGUUUUCUGUGACUUGAGACCAGCUGCGAAUGACAUUUUGUUUUUCCAGAAAUUUUUUGUCUUAACUCUCUCAUCUCGAAAAAUGCAUCACAUUUACUUCACUCACGUAACGGAUAUAGCCUUUUUCAAUUUUGAAGAUUUCUUUCCUCUGUUGUUUGAAUCAGGUAGUUUGUACCUGCUUACCCAUGUUUUCUUGCCACUCAGUUGUAAUUGUAGCUAUUUUUAAAAGAGUAAAAAUUGUAAAAAUGUAAAUAGUGAAAAAUUGUGAUUUUUAUGUACAAUAGUUAUUAUUGCAUUAAUGUGCUAUGAGUUUGUAGAUGCUGACUUCUUAGGAAUAAAUUACUUAAUUUAUCAACGUACUUACCUGCUAAAUGUGAAGUAGGUACCAACUUACGUAAAAGAGUAAUAAAAUAGAAUCAUGUUGCAUUUCUUCAUUUGCUCACCAGAAAAAAAGAAAAGUAACCAAUUGAAAUCAGAUCAAAAACUGUCCAUUUACAUGUUCAUAUUUUCAAGAGGUGGUGUAGACAGGGGAUACUCGUUACACAUCCUUAUGUUUCAAUCGAAAAAAUACUCACGAGUUAAUGUUGAAUAAAAUUUAUGUUCAAGAAUUUGUUUCGGUUCAAACAUUAAUCAAUGACUGAAUUCAAAGAGUGUUAUUCGGAUAGAGCAGCUACCUAUUUGACGACUUUAGUCAAAAAUUAUAAAAAUCAUUCUAGAAAUCAUUCCCCUCGUAGUUUUUUCUCUUUCUUAAAUUAUUUGCAUCACUGCAUGAUAAAAUUUUUAGAUUUUCAUGUAAGCGUAAACAUAGUCUGAAUGACAUUAAUUUUAAGUUCAUUGACAAUCAGUCUACAAAAAAAUUGAUACGUAGUUUCAAGUGAAAACCGUCAAAUCCUGAUAGGCGUUCAUUUCAAUUUUUGUUUGUUUCGUUGUCCAGGAAUUGUAUUCUCCUUUUUGACUUCUUACAUGUACAUACUACACCCAAAUUCAUAGGACUUAAUAGGGAUUCCUUAAAGCAGGUAGAACUCGCGUCUGGUAGGUAAGGUGACAAGGUGACAGUCCUUCAGUUUUGACUGCAUGUCACGCACAAAAAUCUGAGUCGUUUUUUCGCACAGCGUGGAAGUUUCCCACGGCCAAUCCUUGAUCCUAUUGAAUGACCGUGUUGCAGUCGCUUGCAAAUGGAAAGUUAACAACUACCAACAUAUCUGACGUGAGUUUUACCCGAUUUACUUUUUAAAGAGGGUUUCCACAACAACUGGCCCUCUCUAUAGGAAUUAACUAUGUUCCAACUCUAAGGGGCUAGUAACUUGACAUUUCAAUCAAUUUUUCAUACUUGCAUCAAACCUUGAAAAAUGUAACUUUGGUAGGUAGCACUGAAAAUCUCCCAAGUUAGUUGAAAAGCAAGGAGAGAAAAAAGGAAGGACUGAAAUUGUAGCGGAAGCAAUUGUUUUAUGUUUUGGUCAGUUGGAGCAAUGAACAUUCUCAAACUUGAGUGUUAGGGGGGGAGGGGUGAAAUUUUAAAAGCUCAUACAUUUUAAUGUUAUGGUAUUUCAAUCAUAAUUUUUUUCUCUAGAGAAUUCAUCGCUAAUCAGCUGACCUAUUUCACACAAUUCAACUGGUUCAACCUGCUUUUAUUCCUCGCUACCUACCUUCUUCAUUAUUGAUUUCCUGUCACUUGGAAAAGAUGAGUAGGUACGUUUUUGUGAAAGUAUUCAUCACGCGAUUUGUUGUUUUUCGCCUUUUAUUUUUGCAUGUUAUGUCAUAAUAUCCGAACAAGGAAUCGGCCAAGAUUACUUGCUCCAGGCCAAUUUGUUUGUGAGCGAUUUAAAAUGCAGGUUUUACGAUUUGCGAAUAAAUUAUUGCAGAUUUAUAAAGGAAUUUGUUUCUGUGCCAGUUAAUUGCUUACUCACAACUGGUUUUCAUUGUACACAAUACGUCCCUCAAAGAAGAGGCUAUUUUUGUUACUUACCAAACUUUGAUGCUUUAGAAUAAGUCUCAUUGUACGUAAAUGUGUUUUGUGUCAAGCUUCUUUUCAGAAAUAAAUGUGAUGAAAUCAAUUGGCGGUCCUUAUUUUUCUUGCAUGUACAUUGUACAACUAACGUGUUUUUAUCACCUAAAAUGAGAAGUAAAAGAGAGCAACGAUAUGAGGCUACACCUGUACAUCUAUUUUAAAUCAUUUAAAUAACCAAAAAGUUUGGUUUUCAGUGAGAUUUUUGUUUUAUGCGCUCAGCUAAUAACUCAGCGCUUUUUCAUUUCAAUCUACUCCUAGGAAUUCAGAAUGCUACAGCCAGCUGCUUCGACUCAAAGAUGCAUCAACAUGGGAAGUUGUCAUAAAAUGAUUCUUUUAUUGAGGAAAACAUUCAAUCCACGUUUGGACGUAUUUCUGUAAAACGGAACCAUGUACAUUAUGACAUGACGACGGUGUAAGUCGGCAAUCACAUAACUCGGAAAACGCGAUUUUCAGGAGAGGGGAAAAACUCUCCACAUUUCUCAUCUUUGAAGGUAGAGGGGAAAUAAUUCUUAGAGACAGCAAGGAUUAGAUGCUUUAUA